UGGCGGAGUCAUUGUAGCAAUACAAGGCAUACGGCUCAGUAACGCGUAGUCAACCUAACCUAUGGACGGAAAUAACCUCGGGAAACUGAGAAUAAUGUCCGAUAGAACACUAUACCUGGAAUGGUUUGUGUUCCAAAUGAUUUAUCGCCGUAGGAUGGGACUGCGGCCUAUCAGUUUGUUGGUGAGGUAAUGGCCCACCAAGACUAUUACAGGUACGGGCUCUGAGAGGAGUAGCCCGGAGAUGGGUACUGAGACACGGACCCAGGCCCUAUGGGGCGCAGCAGGCGAGAAAACUUUGCAAUGUGCGAAAGCACGACAAGGUUAAUCCGAGUGAUUUGUGCUAAACGAAUCUUUUGUUAGUCUUAGAACCACUAACGAAUAAGGGGUGGGCAAGUUCUGGUGUCAGCCGCCGCGGUAAAACCAGCACCUCAAGUGGUCAGGAUGAUUAUUGGGCCUAAAGCAUCCGUAGCCGGCUCUGUAAGUUUUCGGUUAAAUCUGUACGCUCAACGUACAGGCUGCCGGGAAUACUGCAGAGCUAGGGAGUGGGAGAGGUAGACGGUACUCGGAAGGAAGGGGUAAAAUCCUUUGAUCUUUUGAUGACCACCUGUGGCGAAGGCGGUCUACCAGAACACGUCCGACGGUGAGGGAUGAAAGCUGGGGGAGCAAACCGGAUUAGAUACCCGGGUAGUCCCAGCUGUAAACUAUGCAAACUCAGUGAUGCAUUGACUUGUGGUCAAUGCAGUGCUGCAGGGAAGCCGUUAAGUUUGCCGCCUGGGAAGUACGUACGCAAGUAUGAAACUUAAAGGAAUUGGCGGGGGAGCACCACAAGGGGUGAAGCCUG
rnacentral:rRNA from 1 species